GCACCUUGAAAGGAGCCAAAUAAGGAAAGCAAUUUGAAAUUCAAAUUUCAAAUCCUUAAGAGAAUUCAAAAUCCAAAAUCAAGAUUCAGCUCAUUAAGGAAAGUGCUAAAUAAGGAAAGUUGCAAACAAGAAAAGUGCAGAGCAGUUUGAAAUUCAAAUCUUCAAGAAUCCCUUUUCCUUAUUUAAGAAGCCAAAUCUUUAGAAGAUGCACAUUCAAAUUUGAAAUUCAAAUUCAGCUUGUCAAAGAAGC
rnacentral:lncRNA from 1 species